UCCUGACGUAACCCUCUCCGAGAAUAGC
rnacentral:sRNA from 1 species